UACGAAGGGACCUAGCGUAGUUCGGAAUUACUGGGCUUAAAGAGUUCGUAGGUGGUUGAAAAAGUUGGUGGUGAAAUCCCAGAGCUUAACUCUGGAACUGCCAUCAAAACUUUUCAGCUAGAGUAUGAUAGAGGAAAGCAGAAUUUCUAGUGUAGAGGUGAAAUUCGUAGAUAUUAGAAAGAAUACCAAUUGCGAAGGCAGCUUUCUGGAUCAUUACUGACACUGAGGAACGAAAGCAUGGGUAGCGAAGAGGAUUAGAUACCCUCGUAGUCCAUGCCGUAAACGAUGUGUGUUAGACGUUGGAAAUUUAUUUUCAGUGUCGCAGCGAAAGCGAUAAACACACCGCCUGGGGAGUACGACCGCAAGGUUAAAACUCAAAUGAAUUGACGGGGACCCGCACAAGUAGUGGAGCAUGUGGUUUAAUUCGAAGAUACGCGCAGAACCUUACCAACACUUGACAUGUUCGUCGCGACUUUAAGAGAUUAGAGUUUUCGGUUCGGCCGGACGAAACACAGGUGCUGCAUGGCUGUCGUCAGCUCGUGUCGUGAGAUGUUGGGUUAAGUCCCGCAACGAGCGCAACCCUCACUUUUAGUUGCCAUCAUUAAGUUGGGCACUCUGAAAGAACUGCCAGUGAUAAGCUGGAGGAAGGUGGGGAUGACGUCAAGUCCUCAUGGCCCUUACGUGUUGGGCUACACACGUGCUACAAUGGUAUCUACAACAGGAAGCAAGACUGCGAAGUUAAGCAAAUCCUUAAAAGAUACCUCAGUUCGGAUUGCACUCUGCAACUCGAGUGCAUGAAGCUGGAAUUACUAGUAAUCGUGGAUCAGCGUGCCACGGUGAAUGCGUUCCCGGGUA
rnacentral:rRNA from 1 species